CCCUACGGGGGGCAGCAGUGGGGAAUUUUGGACAAUGGGCGAAAGCCUGAUCCAGCCAUGCCGCGUGAGUGAAGAAGGCCUUCGGGUUGUAAAGCUCUUUUAGUCGGAAAGAAAGAGUUGCAAUGAAUAAUUGUGAUUUAUGACGGUACCGACAGAAAAAGCACCGGCUAACUACGUGCCAGCAGCCGCGGUAAUACGUAGGGUGCGAGCGUUAAUCGGAAUUACUGGGCGUAAAGGGUGCGCAGGCGGUCUUGCAAGUCAGAUGUGAAAGCCCCGGGCUUAACCUGGGAAUUGCGUUUGAAACUACAAGGCUAGAGUGCAGCAGAGGGGAGUGGAAUUCCAUGUGUAGCAGUGAAAUGCGUAGAGAUGUGGAAGAACACCGAUGGCGAAGGCAGCUCCCUGGGUUGACACUGACGCUCAUGCACGAAAGCGUGGGGAGCAAACAGGAUUAGAUACCCCGGUAGG
rnacentral:rRNA from 1 species